ACGAACGCUGGCGGCAUGCCUAACACAUGCAAGUCGAACGCCCCCUUCGGGGGGAGUGGCGCACGGGUGCGUAACGCUUGGGAACCUGCCCUUAGGUUCGGAAUAACUCAGAGAAAUUUGAGCUAAUACCGGAUAAUGUCUUCGGACCAAAGAUUUAUCGCCUUUGGAUGGGCCCGCGUAGGAUUAGGUAGUUGGUGGGGUAAAGGCCUACCAAGCCGACGAUCCUUAGCUGGUCUGAGAGGAUGAUCAGCCACACUGGGACUGAGACACGGCCCAGAAUCCUACGGGAGGGAGCAGUGGGGAAUAUUGGACAAUGGGCGAAAGCCUGAUCCAGCAAUGCGGCGUGAGUGAUGAAGGCCUUAGGGUUGUAAAGCUCUUUUACCAGGGAUGAUAAUGACAGUACCUGGAGAAUAAGCUCCGGCUAACUCCGU
rnacentral:rRNA from 1 species